rnacentral:rRNA from 1 species
CGCUCCUUGAUUUUAAUUAAUAAGGAGUCGGACCUGCCCAGUGAUAAGUAUUUAACGGCCGCGGUACUCUGACCGUGCAAAGGUAGCAUAAUCAUUUGCCCUAUAAUUGAGGGCUAGUAUGAAUGGUUUGACAAGAACAAUACUGUCUCUUUCAAAANUUUCUAGAAUUUAUUCUUUAGAUGAAGAAACCUAAAUAAAAUUAAAAGACAAGAAGACCCUAUCGAGCUUAAACUCUUUUUAUAAAAUAAAAAAAAUUAAUAAUAUUUUUUGUUAUAAAAAAUUUUGGUUGGGGCGACUAAGGAACAAAAAAAGCUUCUUUAUUUAAUAAAGACAAAUAUGUAUUGAUCCAUAAAANUCUUGAUUAAAAGAAUUAGUUACCGUAGGGAUAACAGCAUAAUCUUUUUUAAGAGUUCUUAUCGAAAAAAAGGUUUGUGACCUCGAUGUUGGACUAAAAUUUCCUAAUAGAUGCAGACGUCUUUAAGGG